rnacentral:rRNA from 1 species
UACGGAGGGUGCAAGCGUUAAUCGGAAUUACUGGGCGUAAAGCGUGCGCAGGCGGUUUGUUAAGUCUGUUGUGAAAUCCCCGAGCUCAACUUGGGAAUUGCAAUGGAUACUGGCAGGCUGGAGUAUGGUAGAGGAAGGUGGAAUUCCCGGCGUAGCAGUGAAAUGCGUAGAGAUCGGGAGGAACACCAGUGGCGAAGGCGGCCUUCUGGACCAAUACUGACGCUCAUGCACGAAAGCGUGGGGAGCAAACAGG